rnacentral:rRNA from 1 species
UACGUAGGGGGCAAGCGUUGUCCGGAUUCAUUGGGCGUAAAGAGCGUGUAGGCGGCCAGGUAGGUCGGUUGUGAAAACUGGAGGCUCAACCUUCAGAGGUCGACCGAAACCAUCUGGCUAGAGUCCGGGAGAGGAGAGUGGAAUUCCUGGUGUAGCGGUGAAAUGCGCAGAUAUCAGGAGGAACACCAAUAGCGAAGGCAGCUCGCUGGGACGGUAUUGACGCUAAGGCGCGAAAGCGUGGGGAGCAAACAGGG